rnacentral:tRNA from 1 species
GCCAACGUAGCUCAGUUGGUAGAGCUACUGAUUUGUAAUCAGUGGGUCGGGGGUUCGAGUCCCUCCGUUGGCU